rnacentral:rRNA from 1 species
GGGUCAGUAGGUUGGUCGUGCCACCGGUACGUACUGGUCUCGCUGAUUCCUCCUUCCUGAAGAACCGUAAUGCCAUUAAUUUGGUGUUGCGGGGAAACAGGACUGUUACUUUGAAAAAAUUAGAGUGUUUAAAGCAAGCUAACGCCUGAAUACAUUAGUAUGGAAUAAUGAAAUAGGACGAUCGAUCCUAUUUUGUUGGUUUCUAGGAUUGACGUA